GCACACCUGUUAUCCUGCUGUUUGGAAGGCAGAGUCAGUGAACUCCCUGGGAAGCUGACUAACUAGAUUAGUCAAAUGGAUGAGUUCCAGGUUCAGUGACAGACCCUGCCUCAGCACAGGGGAGAGUGAUCGAGGAGGUCAUGCAGUGUUACACAUAACCACACAACUACAUCCCCUGGGCAGGCCACUGGGAAGUCUAGUGAGACACAUCGUUGGCUUGCCCAGGACCCAGGAAACCUUUUAGGCCAACUGAGGUGCUGGGUAUGAAUGGUGACAUAUGCAGCUCUUUACUGGAAACUAUAGAAGGCUCUCAAGUUUGAGGCCUGCCUGGGCUGCAUAGAAGCUUGAAAACAACAGCAACAACAACAAAAAGACCAAGACAAGCCCAGUGCUCAGUGGCUCAGUUGCAGAAGACCCCACGGGUGCUGCAAGAGACCAGCUGGAACGGCUCGAGGACCGCCCGGGUCAGAGAGUACUUGGGCAGUGUGGAGCUGCUGAGAUGAAAGUAUCCCACAGUGCCAUGGGCCUAUGGGUGCCAGCGCUAGCCCAGGAUAAAAAGCUUCCUUGUGCCGGUUUGUCAAACCUGGUCUGUGGUUUCCACUGGAACUGGAGAUGAGUUUGCCUCCUUGAUGGACUCCAAACCCUUCAACACCUGGUGGCCUGACUUCACUUUCAACCUGUGCCAGCAGGCAGCAGGACUUGACUGCUGGGACAUCCCCACCCAUGAUGGGAGCACUGGCGGAAGCAAACUGCACAUAUGGGAGAAAGAGGGCUCUGGGCUGGGGUUAGGGGGUGGGCUGUAGGAUGUGCAUUCCCUGCACAGAUAUCGCCUGCAGGAGACCCCACUUAAGUUUGCCCUCGAGAUGGAAGAAGCCGGGCAGAAGUUCACCGAUGUGGGGGUCCAGACUAGUUUUAUUGACCAGCCUGGGAAUGCCACACUACAGGAGACACCUACUGGAACCCCUCCUCUUCUUGGGACUUGAUCAUGGAAAAAAAUUAUACUAUAGGGGGACCCUAUCUGGGGGACCAAGGGUAUUGGGAUACUCCCUGGGCAAACACCACCUGUAACCCAAUAAUAAUCAGAUUCACUCAGAAAGGCAAAGAAGCAACAGGAUGGCUAAAGGGAAAAACUUGGGGACUCAGGUUGUACAAAUUGGGGUAUGAUGAUGGCCAAGGUGAGAAAAGGGAUAGCCAAACAGAAAAAGAGAAAGAGAGCAGUCAGAGCUGGUUCGAGUCUUGGUUUAACUCGUCUCCUUGGCUAACCACCCUCAUAUCCACCUUGUUAAGACCCCCUCUUUGUUCUGCUAUUGUUGACCUUUGGACCCCGCAUAUUGAACAAGUUUAUAGCCUUCAUAAAAGAGAGAAUGGGGAGCAGUGCAGCUGAUGGUCCUGCACCAAUAAUAUGAGACCCUGAGGACAGGACCUGAAGAAUAUGAGUUAGUCAUCAGAGGCCCCUGAGUGUAGCUCCAAGAUUAGAGCUUGUACAAGAAAAAGGGACCCUUAGGGCUUUCACCAGCCUUACACCCACCUGCCUUGGGACAAGGCUAGGCCAAGUUCCAUUGUCCACCCACAGGAAUAUUCUUCAGUAAAAAAAGUUCUCAGAA
rnacentral:sRNA from 1 species